ensembl:lncRNA
CUAUUUUCAAUCUCUUUUUAAACACAAACCACUGCGCUGCAGGUUGAAUAUCUGUGCAGGGAACAGAGUGUAUCUGAAUGUUUUGUUGUUUUAGUGGAGGCCCUGCAGGAGAGCUCUAGGUCAGGUAAUUUUAGCUCUGGCUGAGGAGACCCAGUCCACUGCUUUCUUCUUCUUCAAAUCAGAUUUUGCUCUUCUGGAACAGAGGUUUCUUCAGAACCUGCAGCGCUGUAAUGAGGGAGAUGCUAAAGCCAAGGUUCAGUCCAGGAUCAAAUGUUUGGAUACCAGUAGGUGCUCCAUGUGAAAGUAAUCUUGAAUGAUGAAUGAAGCAUGCAGUUGUGCUUGGAAUGCUUGCUGGGUUUGCUUGUUUAGAGAAUGCAAGGUCAUGGUUGAGAGGAGAAGUCCUAAACUGCACUAAACACCUGGAGAACUCAAAUCUACAUUCACCUUCGAUCACAGCUUUUCGCCAUGCGAAGGUGAGUGUAACAGUGCUCCGAGCUUAUAGCUAGAGCUGAUGCAGCUUCAGCAAGCCUGUCAGAGCAGUAUCCAGAGAGCGAGAACUGGGACCUUCUGUUGGAGGAAUUUUACUUCAGGACACAGGAGGUCACAGGUCAAAGAAGUACUCUCAAUAUUGCUUUGUUUCUGCCCAUACUUUUAGAUGUUGCACUCACAAACACAACCCAUGGUCUGGCACUUUGUACACCUGUGUGUGGGCUGCCCUCCAGACCACAAACACAACCAAACACUGACACUUCUGAUGAUUCUGGGGGUAGCACUUCCUUUGGUCACUUAUAUAUUAAC